GAAACGCGAUAGUUAAUGUGAAUUGCAGAAUUCAGUGAAUCAUCGAGUCUUUGAACGCACAUUGCGCCCAUAGGUAUUCCUUUGGGCAUGUCUGUUUGAGCGUCAUUACAAACCUCAGCUAACCGCUGGUUUUGAACCUGAACGGGUGACACCGCGCCGGUUUUAAAGUUGUAAGCUCUGCUGGCCGCUCUGCCCAACCAGAACAUAGUAAGCACUACUUGUCCGGGUGAAGCUGAACGGUACGGCCUGAACAAAACCUACCCACUCUCAAGGUUUGACCUCAGAUCAGACAAGGAUACCCGCUGAACUUAAGC
rnacentral:misc_RNA from 1 species